UACACAACUGCAGUUCGGCCAAUAUUGGCCUAUGGAUGUCUUGUGUGGUGGCAAAAGGGCGAAAUGAGAACGGUCCAAUCAAAGUUAGGCCAUCUCCAAAGGAUGUGCCUAAAGGCGAUGUCUGGAGCGUUUUCUUCAACUCCCACGGCAGCGCUCGAAGCUCUCUUUGACGUUGCUCCACUACACAUUCAUCUCAAACAAGAAGCACUUUCUUGCACUUACCGUCUACGGGUAAUUGGUCUACUAGAGGAAACUCCUGUGAACCGCACAUCAACACACACUUCGUUGUUUCCACUUUUAAUGAAUUGGGACAAAAUUGCCCUUGCUCCAAGUAAUCUUACAAUGAACUACCUGCAUCGGUUUCCGACACAUUCCACCGCGAGAGGCGCUUCAAAUAUAGUUUACCUCUAUCGGAAACUAAUGGAAACUGUGGAAUGUUCCUUCAAAUUCCAACAGAUGGCGACUCGAUAGCGUAGGCAAGUUUACAGUAGAUGUCCCGAGUUAGGGUCAGCAUGUAGAUUAUGAAAUUUCGCUUCAGACUGAAAUUUAAAUAGAAUUUUUAAAACGUGUUUCAUUGCGUUGUUUUUAACUUUUAAUGUAUAUUUUGUUAAACAAAUAACAUGCAAUUAUUUAAAUUAAAAUGAGUAUUAAAUAUGACUAAAUUGGUAAUUUUGAGUUGAAACAGUGUAGUCUUAGGUGCAGUACGGUAAAGCUGCCGCAGCAACAUUUUGACAGAUAGUUCGGCCAAUCAGCAUCGUUCGUAGCAUCAACACCGCGGAGACCGCGAUCGCAUACAGCGCACCAGCCAAACAACAACAAAUUAGUAAAAAAGAAACGGGUGAAUUUUCUAAGAAAUUAUCGCGAUUUCUAGUGCUUGUCUAGUUAGUUAGUGAAAAAAUAUCUGCGCGGAUGUGAAAGAAAUGUCAUUCUGUCGCUGGAGACGGUGGGGCCUCGCCCAUCAAGGCAGAGCCUGAAAUUUUCGCAGGAGGAAAUCAUAUUGAUGAACUAGCCUUCUUGAGCUCAAACUCAACGAAAGCGAGGAGGAAAAUCGGCCACACGGGAGAUUAAAGCAGUGCAGAAAUGAUGCCCAAUAAACGGUCCAACAUUCAAUCGCGUAGUGGCCAUGAAAAAGUCUCCCC